GGGGGGGGGGGGGGGGGGGGGGGGGGGGGGCGGGGCGGGCGGCGGGGCGGGGGGGGGGGGCGCUGGCGGGUGGCGAGGGGCGGACGGGUGGGGAGUGCAUCGGAGGCUACGGUUUCGUGGGGGAUAACGGAGGGAAACUUACGCUAAUACCGCAUACGCCCUACGGGUGAAAGCAGGGGAUCUUCGGACCUUGCGCGAUUGAAUGAGCCGAUGUCGGCUUAGCUCGUUGGCGGGGUAAAGGCCCACCAAGGCGACGAGCCGUAGCUGGUCUGAGAGGAUGAUCAGCCACACUGGAACUGAGACACGGUCCAGACUCCUACGGGAGGCAGCAGUGGGGAAUAUUGGACAAUGGGCGCAAGCCUGAUCCAGCCAUACCGCGUGGGUGAAGAAGGCCUUCGGGUUGUAAAGCCCUUUUGUUGGGAAAGAAAAGCAGCAGGUUAAUACCCCGCUGUUCUGACGGUACCCAAAGAAUAAGCACCGGCUAACUUCGUG
rnacentral:rRNA from 1 species